rnacentral:lncRNA from 15 species
GGGUAAGUAUUUAUUUUAGUUCCUUUUAGUUGGGGUAAGUAUUUCAUUUAUUUAUUUGAGGUAAGUAUUUAGUUUAGUUGAGGUAAGUAUCCCCUAACUAUGAGCCCCUCUGGGGACAUGUGGCUCCCUCAGAGGGCCGUGCCAAACUGAAUUCAAAAUGUCAGUUGCUCCCUUUUAAACUCUGAGCCCCUCCCUUUCUGAAAAUCCGUGUUACUCCUCCAUUGUAGUGUGUUUGUCUAACCGUUAUUUCCCAUGUCUUUUUUCAAUUAAAAUUCUUUGUUUCUGGCUCCAAUUCUUUGCGUUUAAUUUAUCUAGUGUUCAUAUCUAUGAUUAACACUUUAUCCGCUGGGUAUGUGUGCCUCCCUUUAAUGGCUACACUUCAUCCAUGGUAUUUAAAUGCCUACUUUAGUUAGUGGCUUCAUCCAUUAUAUGGGCUUAGAAUGUCCUUCACUGAGGGUUAGAGAUAAAUUAAGGCCAGUAUUUUGGAGCCAGGGUGGGGACUGAAACUGAAUCAGGCCUGGGAUUUAGGGUUAGGGCCUCAAAGAGGGCUUAGUUUGGGUCCAAUUGGUUAGGGUUAGUUCAGAAAUAUAUGGGCUGGGGUUAGAUGGGAUAUAGACUGGGUUAGCUUAUAAUAGCUUAGCAUGGGUAGGAGCACUGACCAUUGAUCCACAGGAGGCCCUGGCUGGUUAGGUUUGGGUUGGGGUGGGGGUCUCCACCUAAGUGGAGGCCCCCAAAGUGCACUCUCCACCCUGUGGAUGGCCAGCUUUCCGUCUCCAUCUUCUCCAAAGAGGUGGCGUUCGCUCGCGACGUUUCGUCCGCUUCUUGGGACUUCUUCAGGCUGCCAUGACAUACAGGUGGUUUUCUUGUGAUUUUAGAGGUAAGUAUCCCCUUAAAGUGAGGUAAGUAUUCCUUUUAGUGGAGGUGAGUAUCCCUUUAAGUUGAGGUAAGUAAUCCUUUUGGUUGGGUAAGUAUUUAUUUUAGUUCCUUUUAGUUGGGGUAAGUAUUUCAUUUAUUU